AGUGAACGCUGGCGGUAGGCCUAACACAUGCAAGUCGAACGGCAGCACAGUAAGAGCUUGCUCUUACGGGUGGCGAGUGGCGGACGGGUGAGGAAUACAUCGGAAUCUACUUUUUCGUGGGGGCUAACGUAGGGAAACUUACGCUAAUACCGCAUACGACCUACGGGUGAAAGCAGGGGAUCUUCGGACCUUGCGCGAUUGACUGAGCCGAUGUCGGAUUAGCUAGUUGGCGGGGUAAAGGCCCACCAAGGCGACGAUCCGUAGCUGGUCUGAGAGGAUGAUCAGCCACACUGGAACUGAGACACGGUCCAGACUCCUACGGGAGGCAGCAGUGGGGAAUAUUGGACAAUGGGCGCAAGCCUGAUCCAGCCAUACCGCGUGUGUGAAGAAGGCCUUCGGGUUGUAAAGCCCUUUUGUUGGGAAAGAAAAGCAGCAGGUUAAUACCCCGCUGUUCUGACGGUACCCAAAGAAUAAGCACCGGCUAACUUCGUG
rnacentral:rRNA from 1 species